AUGAAGUAUCUCAUAGAGUAAUCUAGUAAGACGCCUUGAAGAAGACAAGGUAGAUAGGGUAGAUGUGGAAGUGCCGCAAGGCAUGAAGCUGACUACUACUAAUCCGUCGAGGGCUUAACUUA
rnacentral:rRNA from 1 species